UACGUAGGGGGGCUAGCGUUGUCCGGAUUUAUUGGGCGUAAAGAGCGUGUAGGCGGCCAGGUAGGUCUGCUGUGAAAACUCGAGGCUCAACCUCGAGACGUCGGCGGAAACCAUCUGGCUAGAGUCCGGAAGAGGCGAGUGGAAUUCCCGGUGUAGCGGUGAAAUGCGCAGAUAUCAGGAAGAACACCCGUGGCGAAGGCGGCUCUCUGGGACGUGACUGACGCUGAGACGCGAAAGCGUGGGGAGCGAACAGG
rnacentral:rRNA from 1 species